GACGAACGCUGGCGGCGUGCUUAACACAUGCAAGUCGAACGGAAAGGCCCUGCUUUUGUGGGGUGCUCGAGUGGCGAACGGGUGAGUAACACGUGAGUAACCUGCCCUUGACUUUGGGAUAACUUCAGGAAACUGGGGCUAAUACCGGAUAGGAGCUCCUGCUGCAUGGUGGGGGUUGGAAAGUUUCGGCGGUUGGGGAUGGACUCGCGGCUUAUCAGCUUGUUGGUGGGGUAGUGGCUUACCAAGGCUUUGACGGGUAGCCGGCCUGAGAGGGUGACCGGCCACCUUGGGACUGAGAUACGGCCCAGACUCCUACGGGAGGCAGCAGUGGGGAAUAUUGCACAAUGAGCGGAAGCCUGAUGCAGCAACGCCGCGUUCGUGAUGACGUCCUUCGGGUUGUAAACCGCUUUCGCCUGUGACGAAGCGUGAGUGACGGUAAUGGGUAAAGAAGCACCGGCUAACUACGUG
rnacentral:rRNA from 1 species